UCUGCCCCUGCCAGGAGUGCGGGGGUGGUGUUGCGCAUUUGAGGUUUCCCGCCUCUUCGAGAGGAGCCUGUGGCUGUGUCCAGGCAGGGAAAUGAGACCCAGGGGCUACUGCAUCAGUUCCUGUGGUCAGUGGUGACCCAAGUCAGCUUCCUGGUAGCGUCCCCCUCACCUGGAUGGGUCCCUCCUUUCAUCAGGACACUUUCCAGCCGAACAAUACUGCCAUGGAAAGUCUGCAGAUUCAUUUAAUGUAUGGCCUUUCACAAUAAAAACAUCUACACGAGUAUUUAUUGGUUGGCACCUGUAGGAGACCAGAGUCCUUGCCCUGAGGGUCUGUCUCAAGACUAUGACCAAGAGCAGACACACACAAAAGCAGGAGAGAACUAGAGAAGGGAGGUUUUCCGUCACAUUUGCAAGUGAUACAUAAGAAUAUAUGGUACUUUGAAAACAACAGGGGCA